rnacentral:rRNA from 1 species
UACAGAGGUCCCGAGCGUUGUUCGGAUUCACUGGGCGUAAAGGGUGCGUAGGUGGCGUGGUAAGUUUGAUGUGAAAUCUUCGAGCUCAACUCGGAAACUGCAUCGGAAACUAUCUAGCUCGAGGAUUGGAGGGGAGACUGGAAUUCUCGGUGUAGCAGUGAAAUGCGUAGAUAUCGAGAGGAACACCAGUGGCGAAGGCGAGUCUCUGGACAAUUCCUGACGCUGAGGCACGAAAGCUAGGGGAGCAAACAGG